GGAAAGUUUCCAUCUGACCCAAGAGGGAAACAAAAUAAAAGGGAGAUUUUUCCUCAAGCUUUUUUCAUACAAAAAUCUUGAUCCAAGAAGAUCUAACGAUCCGAUCUUCGACCUGUCUUCGGAAACAUGAUCCUUGCACUUGAAUCUACGUUUCUACCAAUCGUUUUGAGGUUUUGUGUUAUCUGGAACUUGUAAAGAUUAUCCAAAUACUGGGUAUUAUUUGGGUAGAUUUUUGGUAAUGCAUUGCAUGGUGGUGUCUAGGAGACCUAGUGCUUAAUAUCCGCGCAGCCAAGACGUUUAUGCUUUGGUUGCAGGUUUUACGGAUAUAGAUAUUGACUCGUCCAGCUAAAGUUAGGGAUGCUAUGAUUGGAGCACAUCGCGACAAUCAUAAGUCAUGAACUCAGGGGUAGUCCGUAUUUGGGUAUUUUAUUUAUGGCUCAUGUCAUGCGUGGCAUAUGUAUUUGUUGAGCUUGUAUUUUAGUAU